ensembl:snRNA U6 U6 spliceosomal RNA
GUGCUCGUUCGGCUGCACAUAUACUAAAAUUGGAACAAUACAGAGAGGAUUAGCAUGACCCCUGAGCAAGGAUGACAUGCAAAUUCAUGAAGCAUUCUAUAUUUUU